GUUUUUCAUUGGCAGCACAUAUACUAAAAUUGGAAUGAUACAGAGAAGAUUAGCAUGGCCCCUCAUAAGAAUGACACUCAUAUUCAUGAAGAGUUCCAUAUUUUU
rnacentral:snRNA from 1 species